rnacentral:lncRNA from 1 species
UUCUAGAAGAAAACAGGACUCCACAGAAGACUGUCUAUAAGAAGAAAUAAAUAAUAAAUGGGAAGUAAAGCAAACAUAGUUAUACGUGACGAAGCUACCGUAUUGGAUGGCGCAAAUCAAGACUCUAGAGAGGGCGCCAUGGUUCACGGCUGUAAUCCCAGCACUUUGGGAGGCCGAGGUGGGUGGAUCACCUGAGAUCAGGAGUUUGAGCCGGGCAAACAUGGUGAAACCCCAUCUCUACUAAAAUACAAAAAUUAGCCAGGCGUGGUGGCGGGUGCCUGCAGUCCUAGCUGCUCAGGGGGCUGAGGCAUGAGAAUCACUUAACCCGGGGGGCGGAAGUUGCAGUGAGCCGAGGUCAUGCCACUACAAUCCUGCCUGGGCGACAGAGUGAGAUUUUGUCUCAAAAAAAAAAAAAAAAAAAAAAAAAGGAACUCAUAACUAAUCUGUACCUCUUUUUAUAAUGAGAAAUGCAGAAGUAAAGAUUAUUACAUUAUUUGUAAAUGAUUCCUUUAUACUGCAUUU